CUGUUGGAAGGCUGGUGGCUGCUACCAAAGUCUCCCAUUUAAUUGGAAACUGUUACCAGGCACAUGGAAAAGAAUUCUCGGAUCUCACGUCGGCAUAAUGUGGUCUUUUGCACGGGGAGGUGCUAUGUCCUCUACCAGGGAGCACAGAUCCAGAGAGAAGCCCACCCAGGCAGGCGCUUUCCCAGGCUGGCUCCAAGAGGCCUUGCUGGGCGUGGUCAGCUGUGUCGAUUGCUGCUGUUCUGUUCAACUCAAGCCACGAGGACCAUCCAAUUAAAAGUAAUCACCGCUGUGUCUCGCACCUGCCUUUUGACGGCUGCUCGCCCAGAACGCCGCUGUUGGUUGAGCCCGGCCUCGUUUUCACAGCUGCUGGGAUGCGUUUUGGAGCUGGGAGGUCUGGAGGAGACGACCGGGAUGGAGACGGGGCACACCUGCCCACGGGAACGCUUGCACGCCUAUCGGCAGAGACAGUGGAAUGAGAAGAGCAAGCACUACCAUCAGACAACAGGUCCUGAGCAUCGUUUCCCGUGAUUAUUUGGUAUCCGUGUGUCUUCUUGGGCACUGACACUGUGGCAAAAGGUCUGCUCAAAUCUUAUUUUUUUUUUAAGAAUUGUGUUGUUUUCUUUUUUAAUGAAUUUUAAGAAUUUGUGAAGUUACAUUCUAUGUGCAAGUCCUUUACCAGAUGAGUAUUUUGCAAACAUUUUCUCCUGAUUUAUGGCAUGCCCCUUGAUUCUCUUGGCCUCGACUUUAGAAGAGGAAUGUUUUUAAUCUUGACGAAGUCCAGUUUAUCACACUUUUCCUCUGAUGGGUGGGUCAUGCACUUGGUGUCAGAGUUAAGAAACCUUUCCCUAAACCAGGGUCACAACAUUUUCUUCUAGAAGCUGUGUAGUUUUAGAUUCCACAUAGAUGCCCAUGAUCUGUUUUGGGCUGACUUUUGCACAUGGUUCCAGAUUUGGACGGAGGCCCUGGGAUUCCGGGAGCAGUGACUGGCAAGUGUCCGUCCCUGGGGAGUCGCCUUGGAGUCUCCUCGGCACUCUCCUGGAGGGCCACAGUCACCGUCCACGUGCUGCGGGGUCUGUUCUGCCUGGAGAUCCCAUGCUUCAGGCCUCAGCCCCUGAAGCUCCCCCCCGUGACCCCCAGCCGGGGCCCCUGUCCCCACGGGCGGGCGCUGCUCGCCAUGUUAGGCCACCCACCGCAGGCGCUGACCGGCCCGCCUGCACCCGGAGUUGUCUGAGCCUCACCCUGGUGCGCGGAGCUAGGCUCAGCUGGAUCUCUGAGGGGUGGGGGAGGGGCCCCCUUGCCAUGUUUCCAGAAGGUUCUCCCGCCCAAGAGCACCCCCUUCCCUGGAUCACAGCCGCCACACCCCAGGUGCUGGGAGCUCCCCCAAGCCUCGGACCCCUCCCAUUUCCUCCUACCCACGACUUCCCCGACCCCAACUCCAGGCAAACGGGAGAACCUUUCGAAGACAGAUGGCUGAGAAGACCCUGUUUGCAUUUUGGAAACAGAUAGUCAACACUGGGCAGCCCCUCGUGGCCGCUGUGGGAGGGCUGCAAGUGGGAAGCCGGGGGGCUCCGUGGGCUCCCCCGCCACUGCCCAGCGGUGAGGAAGUGGGUGAGGCUAUAGCUGGCCUUGCACUUGGCGAGGCACCUGGACGCCACAGUGUGGUUAGUGAAGUAGCGUCUCUGUGCCACUCUUACUGCCCUCUGACGACUGUCUCACGUGCUAGCACAGCGUGCAGGGGUCAGCAGGGUUUGGCUGACCUGGGGGUCCCCUCCCUCUUCCCCAGCCCACCAUUUCUGUUCUUUAAGCCACGUCCCCUGUAGAUCACUGAAUGAGAAAUAAUUAGAUGCUUGCUUCCUUUUCCGAAGAGAAUGGCCUUGGCCAGUCCACUCCCAUCAUACCUACCUUUCUUUACGUGGGAGGCACUGGCUUAGGACAUUUGAUUGCCUAAAAACUAUGUACUCUGUAUGGAGGACAAAGUCUCUUUCCAGAGACUUGUAUUUUUGUUCUACUAAAAAUAUUUUUAGGGAGCCAGCAUCAUGGCAUGGUGGAUUACCUUGCUGCUUGGGAUGACAGCACACCCUGUGGGUGCUGCUGGCAGUCCUGGCUGCUCCACUUCUGACCCAGCUCCCUACUGAUGGCCUGGGAAAGCAGCAGCAAACCUUCCAAUGCUUGGGCCCCUGCACCCACAUGGGAGGCCCAGAAGAAGCUCCUGGCUCCUGGCUUCAGCUUGGCCCAGCCUGGCUAUGGAGGCCAUCUGGUGAGUGAACCAGUGGAUGGAAGAUCUUUCUCUCUGUCUCCCCCCGCCUUUAGAAAGUAUUUUAAAAGGGGGACUUUCAAGGGACAAGUUUUUGGAGACUUACUGCCUACUUUUUGCAAGAAGCUGGAAGAUGAUGAAGCCGACCCAACUGCUGAGAUAAAUUCAACUGUUUACCCGAUUUUUUUUUUUUUUUUUUUUUUUACCUAACUUCAUUGGAAAGCGUUUUGGGCCAGUGUUUUGGCUUGGUGGAUAAAGUCGUCACCUGCAGUGCCAGCAUCCCAUAUGGGAGCUAGUUCUUGUCUUGGCUGCUCCACUUCUGAUUCAGCUCCCUGCUAAUGGCCUGGGCGAAAGCAGCAGAGAAUGUCCCUUGUACUUGGGUCCCUGCCACCCAUGAGGGAGACGAGGAUGAAGCUCCUGGUUUCUGACGUCAGCAUGGCCCAGCCCUGGCCGUUUUGGCCAUUUGGGGAGUGAACCAGUGGAUGCAAGAUCUCUCUCUCCUUCUCUCUGUAACUCUGACUUUGAAAUAAAGAAAGAAAUAUUUUUUUUAAUAGAAGAAAUGAGAAAAUGAUUUCCAGAAAAUUCCAUGAGAUUUUCUUCUCUCCUAUCCUAUGGAACACAGCACAGGUGAGACAACGCCGAGUUGGGGAGCCCCAGACUCCCUGCCUGUUUCUCCCUGGCAGGCCCAGAUGUGCUAGGGCACGGGGCUUCCUUGUAGCGGGGCUCCACAAGGACCCAGCUGCACAAGCCUCCUCGGUGCCCCCAGAGCAGGAGCCCUCGCCCCGAGCUGCCCCUCCCCUGGCUCGAACUGCCCCACGGAGAACAGCACCGUGCGUAGCACACACGUGUUUUCCAAAGAGCUUCAUUUUCUCUAAAUGCCAUGACUUAAUUUAAAACAUUUUUUUCCAACUCACUCGCCCCUCCAAACCCCUGUUUGGGGCCAGGGACUGAGCCUGGACAACACCUGAUCUGAUCUUUCAGGAGGGACCGGCCUCGAAACAUUUGGGAGACAACAAUAGAAACUGCCUCCCGGGGCGGAGCCUCUGCCUCUGCCGGCGAAGGCGCAGGACACACCGCGUUGCCUGCCACUGCAAGUGACCCCUCGCCCCAUCAGCCAACACGGAGAUCCCGGCGUCGGCGGAGGGCGCCACCUGUCCGUUCCCACACCCCUCUGCACAGCGCCGUGGCUGGCCUUCUAGGACGUGUGCCUUCAGCCUUGCUAUUCUGUCGGUUCCUUAACCCAACUAUGCUAAAUUCAUGUUUAGUGGUCUGUGCUGUCUUGGGAAGAUGGCCAUGACCAGCCCCCACGGGCAGCCCCUGGCCGCACCUGCCGAUAGUGCCGGGGCUGCUUUCUCCCCGCAGGGGCCGCAGGGGCCACAGGAGAGGCCAGGCGUGGCCCGAGCUCCUCUGUACCCCCAUGGAAGAGCCACCGCCCUUCGUUUUCCGAGCGUGUCUUCCGCCACGAGCACAUUCCCUCCAUGCUCCCUGUCUUCUGUAGGCAAACUAUAAAACACGCAAAUGGUCCAGAAACCAAGGCCUGCUUGGCAGGCUGCAGCUAUUUUGUGGUGUUCAGAAGGCACGGCAGACACAUGCGCGUGCUGGCGUGCGGUGCACACACACACACACACAGGUGCACAGUCUCAGCAUCUCCACACAGGGCCCAUCGUCUGCCUGAGCCAGUGCAGACAGAACCUGCAGGUGCAGGGGGCACGCAGCGGGGAGCAGUGACCCCAAGAGGUGAGGUGCUGCUGGCCUGCGGCCCUUCAAGCAGGCGCUGGUAUCCGAAGCCUGGAGGACCUUGGAGGCGCCUGCUGCUGGCCCCACCGUGGAAGUCUUGCUUGUCUAGGUUUCUGCAACAUGUCGGAGCAGCACCUGCCAGAAAGCGCUAUCCGUCUUCCUCCCAACCCCGCUGCGGCUUACCCAGAAGUCCCUCCCCUCUUGCCCACUCUUCCCUGCUGGGAGAAGCUGGGGAAAUAGAUCCCCCCAAAGGACAUGGUGCAGGAUCUAAGCCAAUCCUCAUUCCAGACUGGGCCAGCACGGGCCGUGUAACCAGCUGUGGCCAGUGGAUUCAGGGCGCAUCUGCUCACGGGACUUCUGGGAAAGAGCUUUCCCCCUUCAGACAAAAAGACAAAGUCACUUAAGGAAAAGGGCUCUGGGGCCGGCACUGUGGCGCAGUGGGUUAAUCCUCCGCCUGCGGCGCCGGCAUCCUAUACGGGCGCGGGUUCUAGUCCCGGCUGCUCCUCUUCCUGUCCAGCUUUCUGCUGUGGCCCGGGAGGGGAGUGGAGGAUGGCCCAAGUGCUUGGGCCCUGCACCCCAUGGGAGACCAGGAGGAAGCUCCUGGCUCCUGGCUUCGGAUCGGCGCAACGUCAGCCAUAGCGGCCACUUGGGGAGUGAACCAACGGAAGGAAGACUUUUGUGUCUGUCUCUCUCUCUCACUGUCUGUAACUCUGCCUGUCAAAUAAAUAAAUAAAAUCUUAAAAAAAAAAAAAGGAAAAGGCCUCGCUGCACUUCCCUCCCUUCCUGGUUUUGUAUAUGUGCUGCCAAAGCGAGCACCUGAUUUUGUGUGAUGAUGUGAUACUCGGCAUUUGGCAGCAUAUUGUGGCCAUGAGGUGACAGGCUUGGGGCGGGUAGCCACAUGCUGAGGAUGGCAGAGUGGGAGCCAGGAGGCCUGGCACCAAGCCAGCCACCCGGCACCUGCCCCAGGCUGGCCUACAGCCCCAGAUGGCCGGCCAGGGGGAGGUGCUUGCCUGUCUUCAUUGUCAGGGGUUUUGUUUUCUGUGGUCAGUGCUUUUCCUGAUGUCUUGGAAGAAACUUGAUGGUCAUGGAACCCAGGACCUCUGCCAUGGGCUGCUGGAAUCUCCUCUCUAGCAUUUCCACCUGGUGACCUAGUGAGAGAGAGAGAGAGAGAGAGAGGCUGGCUUCCUCCUGGAAGGCCCAGGCCACAUUUGGGGGAGCCCUUCUCACAUGGGAGAGACCCCCAUUGCCAGCCCUGUGGAAGGAGGUGUGCCCAGGAGGGCAGACACAAGGGGGCUGUGACCACAGAGAUGCCUGGGGAGUGGUGAGCUCCCCCGGGGUGGCCAUGUUCAGGCAGCACUGUGGGAGGUGCCCUGGUCUUAGAGCCAUUUCUGCUUAAAGAGGACACUUUUUCUUCGCCUACUUUAAAAAUAUUUAUUUUAGAGGCAGAGAGACAGGAAG